AGGACGAACGCUGGCGGCGUGCUUAACACAUGCAAGUCGAACGGUGAAGCCCUUUCGGGGGUGGAUCAGUGGCGAACGGGUGAGUAACACGUGAGCAACCUGCCCUUGACUCUGGGAUAACUUCGGGAAACCGGAGCUAAUACCGGAUAUGACACGCGGAGGCAUCUCCUGUGUGUGGAAAGAUUUAUUGGUCAAGGAUGGGCUCGCGGCCUAUCAGCUAGUUGGUGGGGUAAUGGCCUACCAAGGCGACGACGGGUAGCCGGCCUGAGAGGGCGACGGCCACGACUGGGACUGAGACACGGCCCAGACUCCUACGGGAGGCAGCAGUGGGGAAUAUUGCGCAAUGGGCGAAAGCCUGACGCAGCGACGCCGCGUGAGGGAUGAAGGCCUUCGGGUCGUAAACCUCUUUCAGCAGGGAAGAAGCGAAAGUGACGGUACCUGCAGAAGAAGCACCGGCUAACUACGUGCCAGCAGCCGC
rnacentral:rRNA from 1 species